rnacentral:rRNA from 1 species
GACGAACGCUGGCGGCGUGCUUAACACAUGCCAGUCGAACGGAAAGGCCCUGCUUUUGUGGGGUGCUCGAGUGGCGAACGGGUGAGUAACACGUGAGUAACCUGCCCUUGACUUUGGGAUAACUUCAGGAAACUGGGGCUAAUACCGGAUAGGAGCUCCAGCUGCAUGGUGGGGGUUGGAAAGUUUCGGCGGUUGGGGAUGGACUCGCGGCUUAUCAGCUUGUUGGUGGGGUAGUGGCUUACCAAGGCUUUGACGGGUAGCCGGCCUGAGAGGGUGACCGGCCACAUUGGGACUGAGAUACGGCCCAGACUCCUACGGGAGGCAGCAGUGGGGAAUAUUGCACAAUGGGCGGAAGCCUGAUGCAGCAACGCCGCGUGCGGGAUGACGGCCUUCGGGUUGUAAACCGCUUUCGCCUGUGACGAAGCGUGAGUGACGGUAAUGGGUAAAGAAGCACCGGCUAACUACGUG